rnacentral:rRNA from 1 species
GACGAACGCUGGCGGCGUGCCUAAUACAUGCAAGUUGAGCGCUGAAGGUUGGUACUUGUACCAACUGGAUGAGCAGCGAACGGGUGAGUAACGCGUGGGGAAUCUGCCUUUGAGCGGGGGACAACAUUUGGAAACGAAUGCUAAUACCGCAUAAAAACUUUAAACACAAGUUUUAAGUUUGAAAGAUGCAAUUGCAUCACUCAAAGAUGAUCCCGCGUUGUAUUAGCUAGUUGGUGAGGUAAAGGCUCACCAAGGCGAUGAUACAUAGCCGACCUGAGAGGGUGAUCGGCCACAUUGGGACUGAGACACGGCCCAAACUCCUACGGGAGGCAGCAGUAGGGAAUCUUCGGCAAUGGACAAAAGUCUGACCGAGCAACGCCGCGUGAGUGAAGAAGGUUUUCGGAUCGUAAAACUCUGUUGGUAGAGAAGAACGUUGGUGAGAGUGGAAAGCUCAUCAAGUGACGGUAACUACUCAGAAAGGGACGGCUAACUACGUG